UAGGGAAUCUUCCGCAAUGGACGCAAGUCUGGCGGAGCAACGCCGCGUGAGUGAAGAAGGAUUUCGGUUCGUAAAACUCUGUUGUUAGAGAAGAACAGCGCAUAGAGUAACUGUUAUGCGUGUGACGGUAUCUAACCAGAAAGCCACGGCUAACUACGUGCCAGCAGCCGCGGUAAUACGUAGGUGGCAAGCGUUGUCCGGAUUUAUUGGGCGUAAAGCGAGCGCAGGCGGUCAAUUAAGUCUGAUGUGAAAGCCCCCGGCUCAACCGGGGAGGGUCAUUGGAAACUGGUUGACUUGAGUGCAGAAGAGGAGAGUGGAAUUCCAUGUGUAGCGGUGAAAUGCGUAGAUAUAUGGAGGAACACCAGUGGCGAAGGCGACUCUCUGGUCUGUAACUGACGCUGAGGCUCGAAAGCGUGGGGAGCGAACAGG
rnacentral:rRNA from 1 species